rnacentral:lncRNA from 1 species
GGUGGGAUCACAGCACUGGGUCAUCAACAUAUGUGCAUGGCUAAAAAAAUUAUCAGCAAAAGCUUCUAUUUUCUUCUCUUUUUUUGGCAUAUCUUGUAUUAAAUAUUCAGCAAAGCAAUAAUGUUUCUUCUCUCUCUGUACAUGGACUGUCUAAUGCACUUCAAGUCUCCAGAAGCUCAUUUUCAUGGUGAAAUAUAUCUCCGAACAUAUAAUACUUUUUAAGCCAAACAUAAGAAUAAAUAUUAAUCAUUA